rnacentral:rRNA from 1 species
UGGGUAACCUGCCUCAAAGAGGGGAAUAGCCUCCCGAAAGGGAGAUUAAUACCGCAUAAUAUGUUUAGGUCGCAUGACUUUAACAUCAAAGGAUUUUCUUUUAAGAAAUUCCACUUUGAGAUGGACCCGCGGCGCAUUAGCUAGUUGGUGAGGUAACGGCUCACCAAGGCAACGAUGCGUAGCCGACCUGAGAGGGUGAUCGGCCGCAUUGGAACUGAGACACGGUCCAGACCUCCGUAGGGAG